GAAGCAGCCAUCCUUUAAAGAAAGCGUAAUAGCUCACUGGUCGAGUGAGUCUGCGCGGAAAAUGUAACGGGGCUAAAGCAUGAUACCGAAGCUGUGGAGUGGACGAAAGUUCAUUGGUAGGGGAGCAUUGCAUACGGGCUGAAGGUGCAUUGUGAGGUGCAUUGGACUGUAUGGAAGAGCCCAUGCUGACAUGAGUAGCGAUAAAGCGGGUGAAAAACCCGCUCGCCGAUAGCCUAAGGUUUCCUGGGUAAAGUUAAUCUGCUCAGGGUUAGUCGAUCCCUAAGCCGAGGCCGAAAGGCGUAGGCGAUGGAAAACAGGUUAAUAUUCCUGUACCACCUAAUAGCCGUUUGAGUGAUGGGGGGACGCAGGAGGGUAGGUUGGCCGUCUGAUGGAAUAGGCGGUUUAAGCGAGUAGGCUGAAGAGAUAGGCAAAUCCGUUUCUUCUUAAGGCCGAGACGUGAUGACGAGAGCGUAAGCUCAUAAAGUGACUGAUCCCAUGCUG
rnacentral:rRNA from 1 species